CUGCGCCACAAGUGGUGACCACAAUUAUUGGGCCUAAAGCGUCCGUAGCCGGAUUGAAAAAUCUUUUGUGAAAUUGUUAAGCUUAACUUAACAGCGUGCAGAAGACACUAUUAAUCUAGGAACCGGGAGAGGCUAGGAGUAUGUUGAGGGGAGCGGUAAAAUGCUAUAAUCCUCGACAGACUACCUGUGGCGAAGGCGCCUAGCCAGAACGGAUUCGACGGUGAGGGACGAAAGCUAGGGGAGCGAACCGGAUUAGAUACCCGAGUAGUCC
rnacentral:rRNA from 1 species